rnacentral:lncRNA from 1 species
UUUUUUAUUAUUUUGUUCGUUUACACAUUUGGAACCUGACUGUUUGAUUCAGCCGGCUUCCUUGCUCCCCGUUUCCGGUCAUGACCGUAUACGGAAGCAACCCACGCUGAUAACCUGUUGCACAACUGAUACUGACUCAGAGCCUUCAAAGCCCGAGUCUCUGCACCUGCUGACCUCUGGCGCUGCCUAGCAGCCCCAUCCAGGCUUCGGAUGAUGUCUUAACCAGAUGAACCAGCUACUCUUGA